rnacentral:rRNA from 1 species
AGUGAACGCUGGCGGCGUGCCUAAUACAUGCAAGUCGAACGGAGUGGCGCACGGGUGAGUAAUGUAUAGCUAAUCUGCCCUACACUAGAGGACAACAGUUGGAAACGACUGCUAAUACUCUAUAGUGUAGGAUGAGGCUAUAUUGUAUCAGCUAGUUGGUGAGGUAAUGACUCACCAAGGGGAUGACGCAUACCUGGUCUGAGAGGAUGAUCAGUCACACUGUAACUGAGACACGGUCCAGACUCCUACGGGAUGCAGCAGUAGGGAAAUAUGCUCAAGGGGGGAAACCCUGAAGCAGCAACGCCGCGUGGAGGAUGUCACUUUACGGAGCAUAAACUCCUUUUGUUAGGGAAGCGGUACCUAACGAAUAAGCACCGGCUAACUCCGUGCCAGCAGCCGCGGUAAUUC